GCCCCAAAUUUUUGUGAUAAAGGCUUAGUUGAGUUGAGAAGUAGCAAAUGUAUCAGUUAGCAAUAAAUUGAAGAGCUCUCUGCUUUAAUGACAAGCAACUAUGAUAUACAAAUAAUAAUAAUAACAAAGAAGAACAAUGAUCAACUAAUCCAUUUAAUGUAUCAUUGAAUCCAAGACAAACAGAACUAACAUCCUUUGGUCAAUAUACUCCAAAGCUAAGGCUUGAGAGGACAUGAACUACUUACAUAAUUCAAUAAAGUAGGCUAAAUAGUGUAGAGUGAUAGGGUGUUAAGGAAAAUAGUCCAUGAAUUCCAAAAAAAAAAAUUAAGAACAUCAAUAAAAGCAAAAGAAAUAGAGAGUAAAUAUCCAUGCUUUCCACUAAAUCAAGCCAAAGGGAUGGUGAUGGGGGACAAGUGUAUUAAAAAAAAAAAGAGCUAGCAACUAUAGAUCUCAUUUGCAAUCAUGAAACAACUCAACUCCAUUAACUUGUUCAUGCCCUUAUUCUUGAACGUAUGAAUUGGAAAGGGUAGAGAAAGGUAUUAGCGAAUUAAUGGAAGCAAACAGCCCCAAAUCACUUCAUUUUCAUUAUCAAUCUGUAAGAAGACAAAACACACAAGCCAAUGACAACAUAAAACAAUGAUCAAUUAAUGUGUUGUUACAAGAGAAGCAUCAACUUAAUUGUAGAUCAACACAAACAACAAAACACAAAUCAAUUACAGAAACACCUUUCUAAACUUUAAGUAGUUUGUGCUUAGCCGGUCUCAAGCCCGGAUAAAGGAAGAAGGUU
rnacentral:misc_RNA from 1 species